rnacentral:rRNA from 1 species
UCAAGAAACUUCCACAAUGGGCGAAAGCCUGAUGGAGCGACGUCGCGUGAUGGACGAAGUGCUUCGGCACGUAAACAUCUUUUAUGUGGGAUGAAAUUAUUGACAGUACCACAUGAAUAAGGGGCUCCUAACUCUGUGCCAGCAAGAGCGGUAAUACAGAGGCCCCAAGCGUUAUCCGGAAUCACUGGGCGUAAAGGGUGUCGAGGCGGUUGUAUUAGUCGUUCGUAAAAUCUACGAGCUUAACUUGUAGGCGGCGAACGAAACGGUACGACUUGAGGUUUGGAGAGGUGCGUGGAACUCACGGUGUAGGGGUGAAAUCCGUUGAUAUCGUGGGGAACACCAAAGGCGAAGGCAGCGCACUGGCCAAAAUCUGACGCUCACACACGAAAGCUAGGGUAGCGAAGAGGAUUAGAUACCCAAGUAGUCCCUGAGCGGGCUGGCAAGGCGCAU